rnacentral:rRNA from 1 species
CGGGUGCACUGAUCCAGCCGGGACUUUCCCUCUGUGGAACCCCAUGGCCUUCACUGGAUGUGGUGGGGAAACAGGGACUUUUACUUUAAAAAAAUUAAAGUGCUCCAGGACGGCCUAUGCUCGAAUACUUUAGCAUGGAAUAAUAGAAUAGGACGUGUGGUUCUAUUUUGUUGGUUUCUAGGGCCGCGGUAUUGAUUAAUAGGGACAGUCGGGGGCAUCAGUAUUCAAUUGUCAGAGGUGAAAUUCUUGGAUCUAUUGAAGACUAACUACUGCGAAAGCAUUUGCCAAGGAUGUUUUCAUUGAUAAGGAACGAAAGUUAGGGGAUCGAAGACGAUCAGAUACCGUCGUAGUCUUAACUAUCAACUAUGCCGACUAGGGAUCGGACGAUGUUAUUCUUUGACGCGUUCGGCACCUUUCGAGAAAUCAAAGUGCUUGGGCUCCAGGGGGAGUAUGGUCGCAAGGCUGAAACUUAAACGAAAUAGACGGAAGGGCACCACCAGGGGUGGAACCUGCGGCUUAAUUUGACUCAACACGGGGAAACUCACCAGGUCCAGACACAGUGAGGAUUGACAGAUUGAGAGCUCUUUCUUGAUUCUGUGGGUGGUGGUGCAUGGCCGUUCUUAGUUGGUGGAGUGAUUUGUCUGCUUAAUUGCGAUAACGAACGAGACCUUAACCUGCUAAAUAGCCCGUACUGCUUUGGCAGUUCGCCGGCUUCUUAGAGGGACCAUCGG